CGUCUUUUGGGAUUUUUGAGUCACCAACUAUGGAUCCCAAUAACUCCAAUCUCUAGCCACCAUGGCAGCCCGAUCUUCAUACCAACUUGAAGCCCACACUUCCCUCUUCACUAUCCACCCAAUCACUGGCCUUAACUCCGGUAGAAAUCGAGUGAAAAUCGCCCAAAAACAGCCUGCCAACUCACUUAAAAAUGGCCGGAAUCUCCACUUCCGGCGAUACCCAGACUAUGCCCAUCAUCCAGGUUGACCAAGCACCUAAUUCCACUCCUAAUGAUGUAUUUAUAACAUCAAACAAAGCUGAAAAUCCAAAUCCAUAGCAAAUUUCGUCUACAGCAAAACUGGACAGUUCAAACCCAAAUUCCGGCGCCGACGAUGCAAACCACAUUGGCGGACCACCUCCCCUACCACCGCUUCAUCAUGAGGAAGCUUUUGCAUAUAUGGGUCAAAGCAAUUUGGACUCGAUACGGACGAACAGGUUGGGACAGUUCAUUUUGACAGAGCAUUUUAUUUAUAUUUUUCAAGGUGAUUUUUUUGUGCUGAGUGGAUGAUAAUUUCAAGACAACAUACAAUAAAAAUUCAUCUGGAGUUUAGUCCCCCCCCCCCCCCCCAGAUCUUUGUUCUUGAAAUGUAUGUUUAUUGGAUUUGUUUUGAUCGAUUAUCAUAAAUUCUUAAUUUCAAGACCCUUUUAGUAUCUUGGUCGUGUGGUUAAUCGUGGAAAAACAAUACAGUAUCUUAGAGGUCUUUUUGCUGAGAUAUGCCUUGUAUUUAAUUUCUUUUUGGCAUGAAAUGUGAAAGAUCCAAGUGAAUGAGACUUUUCUAAUUAUGGAUUUCCACGUCUAAUGGAUAGAUUUCAAUUUCCUGUUGUGAUCUAAGGAUAAUUUGAUUUAGUUCACAGACGACACAUGCACGAUGCACACACUUUCCUCCCGACACAUAUAUCUUCUGGAAAUUCUAGGUUCUUGAAUUUGAAUUGAGAGCUCUGGCUAAAUGGAAACAGGAAAAUUACAAGGCAAAAUAUGGGACAACAACAAUGAACGUUUGCAUAUGGAAAAUGGACAGAUGUUCCUCGUGACAAAUGCACUUGAGAAAAAAUGGAUGAACCUGUCUUUUAUUUUGUAUCUUUUUGGAUAAAGAUUAAUGGAUGAAGUUUCUUUAAGCGUUUUUACUUAUUCUUUGCCAAGCGAAUUCAUUGUAUAGGUGUCUAGUUUAGUAAUCCAUUUUAUGUGAUUCACUAAUCACUACGAUACCUUUAUGCAACUUUUGGAGGCUUGUUAUUGGUUUUGAUUGAUAUUUUGCUACAGAUAAUGAGCCAAUCUUGUGGAUGAUAACUUUUUUUAUUUGGUCUUGUAUAUGAUGCAUGAAUGCACC
rnacentral:lncRNA from 1 species